AUACGGAAGGUGCAAGCGUUAAUCGGAAUCACUGGGCGUAAAGCGCUCGUAGGUGGCUUUGCAAGCCAGGCGCGAAAGCCCACGGCCCAACCGCGGAACCGCACCCGACACUGCAUUGCUUGAGUUCGGGAGAGGGUAGUGGAAUUCCAGGUGCAGGAGCGAAACCCGUAGAGAUCUGGAGGAACACCAGUGGCGAAGGCGACUACCUGGACCGAUACUGACACUGAGGAGCGAAAGCGUGGGGAGC
rnacentral:rRNA from 1 species